CCGGCGAUGUCCGAAUGGGGAAACCCAGUGCAAUUCGUUGCACUAUCGUUAACUGAAUACAUAGGUUAACGAGGCGAACCGGGGGAACUGAAACAUCUAAGUACCCCGAGGAAAAGAAAUCAACCGAGAUUCCCCCAGUAGCGGCGAGCGAACGGGGAGCAGCCCAGAGUCUGAAUCAGCUUGUGUGUUAGUGGAACGGUCUGGAAAGUCCGACGGUACAGGGUGAUAGUCCCGUACACCAAAAUGCACAGGUUGUGAACUCGAAGAGUAGGGCGGGACACGUGGUAUCCUGUCUGAAUAUGGGGGGACCAUCCUCCAAGGCUAAAUACUCCUGACUGACCGAUAGUGAACCAGUACCGUGAGGGAAAGGCGAAAAGAACCCCGGCGAGGGGAGUGAAAAAGAACCUGAAACCGUGUACGUACAAGCAGUGGGAGCACCUUCGGGUGUGACUGCGUACCUUUUGUAUAAUGGGUCAGCGACUUAUAUUCUGUAGCAAGGUUAACCGUAUAGGGGAGCCGCAGGGAAACCGAGUCUUAACUGGGCGUUAAGUUGCAGGGUAUAGACCCGAAACCCGGUGAUCUAGCCAUGGGCAGGUUGAAGGUUGGGUAACACUAACUGGAGGACCGAACCGACUAAUGUUGAAAAAUUAGCGGAUGACUUGUGGCUGGGGGUGAAAGGCCAAUCAAACCGGGAGAUAGCUGGUUCUCCCCGAAAGCUAUUUAGGUAGCGCCUCGUGAACUCAUCUUCGGGGGUAGAGCACUGUUUCGGCUAGGGGGUCAUCCCGACUUACCAACCCGAUGCAAACUACGAAUACCGAAGAAUGUUAUCACGGGAGACACACGGCGGGUGCUAACGUCCGUCGUGAAGAGGGAAACAACCCAGACCGCCAGCUAAGGUCCCAAAGUCAUGGUUAAGUGGGAAACGAUGUGGGAAGGCACAGACAGCCAGGAUGUUGGCUUAGAAGCAGCCAUCAUUUAAAGAAAGCGUAAUAGCUCACUGGUCGAGUCGGCCUGCGCGGAAGAUGUAACGGGGCUAAACCAUGCACCGAAGCUGCGGCAGCGACACUAUGUGUUGUUGGGUAGGGGAGCGUUCUGUAAGCCUGCGAAGGUGUGCUGUGAGGCAUGCUGGAGGUAUCAGAAGUGCGAAUGCUGACAUAAGUAACGAUAAAGCGGGUGAAAAGCCCGCUCGCCGGAAGACCAAGGGUUCCUGUCCAACGUUAAUCGGGGCAGGGUGAGUCGACCCCUAAGGCGAGGCCGAAAGGCGUAGUCGAUGGGAAACAGGUUAAUAUUCCUGUACUUGGUGUUACUGCGAAGGGGGGACGGAGAAGGCUAUGUUAGCCGGGCGACGGUUGUCCCGGUUUAAGCAUGUAGGCUGGUUGUCCAGGCAAAUCCGGAUAAUCAAGGCUGAGGUGUGAUGACGAGGCACUACGGUGCUGAAGUAACAAAUGCCCUGCUUCCAGGAAAAGCCUCUAAGCAUCAGGUAACAUUAAAUCGUACCCCAAACCGACACAGGUGGUCAGGUAGAGAAUACCAAGGCGCUUGAGAGAACUCGGGUGAAGGAACUAGGCAAAAUGGUGCCGUAACUUCGGGAGAAGGCACGCUGGUGUGUAGGUGAAGUCCCUGCGGAUGGAGCUGAGACCAGUCGAAGAUACCAGCUGGCUGCAACUGUUUAUUAAAAACACAGCACUGUGCAAACACGAAAGUGGACGUAUACGGUGUGACGCCUGCCCGGUGCCGGAAGGUUAAUUGAUGGGGUUAUCCGUAAGGAGAAGCUCUUGAUCGAAGCCCCGGUAAACGGCGGCCGUAACUAUAACGGUCCUAAGGUAGCGAAAUUCCUUGUCGGGUAAGUUCCGACCUGCACGAAUGGCGUAAUGAUGGCCAGGCUGUCUCCACCCGAGACUCAGUGAAAUUGAACUCGCUGUGAAGAUGCAGUGUACCCGCGGCAAGACGGAAAGACCCCGUGAACCUUUACUAUAGCUUGACACUGAACAUUGAGCCUUGAUGUGUAGGAUAGGUGGGAGGCUUUGAAGCGUGGACGCCAGUCUGCGUGGAGCCAACCUUGAAAUACCACCCUUUAAUGUUUGAUGUUCUAACGUUGGCCCCUGACCGGGGUUGCGGACAGUGUCUGGUGGGUAGUUUGACUGGGGCGGUCUCCUCCCAAAGCGUAACGGAGGAGCACGAAGGUUAGCUAAUCCUGGUCGGACAUCAGGAGGUUAGUGCAAUGGCAUAAGCUAGCUUGACUGCGAGCGUGACGGCGCGAGCAGGUGCGAAAGCAGGUCAUAGUGAUCCGGUGGUUCUGAAUGGAAGGGCCAUCGCUCAACGGAUAAAAGGUACUCCGGGGAUAACAGGCUGAUACCGCCCAAGAGUUCAUAUCGACGGCGGUGUUUGGCACCUCGAUGUCGGCUCAUCACAUCCUGGGGCUGAAGUAGGUCCCAAGGGUAUGGCUGUUCGCCAUUUAAAGUGGUACGCGAGCUGGGUUUAGAACGUCGUGAGACAGUUCGGUCCCUAUCUGCCGUGGGCGCUGGAGAAUUGAGGGGGGCUGCUCCUAGUACGAGAGGACCGGAGUGGACGCAUCACUGGUGUUCGGGUUGUCAUGCCAAUGGCACUGCCCGGUAGCUAAAUGCGGAAGAGAUAAGUGCUGAAAGCAUCUAAGCACGAAACUUGCCCCGAGAUGAGUUCUCCCUGAGACUUUAAGUCUCCUGAAGGAACGUU
rnacentral:rRNA from 1 species